UGGCGUGUGUGUGUGUGUGUGUGUGUGUGUAGAUCAUGCUUGUUACAAUCUUGGGCUGUAUUUGGAGACUUUGGGUGGGGGUACAAUUUCCCUUCUCAGCUUGUCCAAGCCCCGCGCGAGUUUACCAGCCCGGGACUAAAAGCUGAGCCGAAUUAAAGCGAGGACUUUAUUCUUGGCAAAAAUACAUUUUCCUCUUCCUUGAGAAAAGAGGACUAAAUGACGUAUGAGGUUAAAAAAAAGAGCUUUGUGAUGUUAAAAAUUAUUGCAAAACAUGUUUUUAAUGAUUUGAGUGUAAAUUAAUAAGAAACAAAUGCGUAGUAUUUUCUUUCCUAGACUAUGAAAACAAAAACAACCGUAAGCAGAGUCUAAGGGGAAAUCACGUGUGGGGGUUUUGCCCUUUUCUGUAUGGCUGUGCGUUCCACCCAGCCUGAAUCCGCGUCAGCUGGGACCCACCAGGCAGCUUCCGGCUCAGUCAACAGAGGCUUAUGGGAUGGACGACGCUGAGGCCCCUCUCCCGGCCACCUGGCAGGGCUGGCUCGUCCGCACUGGUGCGUUCAGGAUCCUUUGCUGCCUGCCCGUGACCGAGAGGACCCUGGACACGUGGAGAGGACUGCCUCAAACGUGGGUGACUGCUGGCUGCCGGCGCAUGUUGAAGCAGGCAGCUGCGAGUGUGAGUGGCGGCCCCGCCGCGUGACCACGUGAGAGCGCUGCUCCCAGAGGCUCGGCUACAGAACGAAGGUGGGAGGAGAACUUACCCUGGCGGAGCCCCAAACAUCAGGUCUUGGAGUCUCUUUUCUGCACAGUAAUCCUCCUAUGUCCCUUCGGGGGUGGGGGUGGGUGAGCUAGCAGAGGACUGGGAGGCGGUGGUGCCACUAUUUUGAGUGUAGACUCCACCAUCCUCGGUUUCUCUUCUGCAUCUCACACUCACCCUCCACUGCGCUGGGGUCCCCAGUCUGGAGUCUUCUGUCUUAAUUUCUUCAGAAACAAGCCUCUGAUGUCCUAACUUUGGAGGGGAGAGGAGUCCUUGGCUUUAAGAGGUGUUGGAGACCCCUGAGCCCAUCGACUGUCACAGUCCCAGGAUCGGCCAGCCUGAGUUGUGUCGGUUGUCCUGGCAUAAUUACUAAAGGUGCCCCU
rnacentral:lncRNA from 1 species